rnacentral:rRNA from 1 species
GGCGUGCUUAAACAUGCAAGUCGAACGAGAACGGGUUAUAGCUUGCUAUAACUGUCAGCUAAGUGGCGCACGGGUGAGUAAUGUAUAGUUAACCUGCCCUCUAGAAAGGAAUAACAGUUGGAAACGACUGCUAAUGCCCUAUAUGCCUUUAAGACAUAAGUCUGCAAGGGAAACGCUUUAGUGCUAGAGGAUGGGACUGUAUGGUAUCAGCUAGUUGGUGAGGUAAAGGCUCACCAAGGCAAUGACGCCUAACUGGUUUGAGAGGAUGAUCAGUCACACUGGAACUGAGACACGGUCCAGACUCCUACGGGAGGCAGCAGUGGGGAAUAUUGCACAAUGGAGGAAACUCUGAUGCAGCAACGCCGCGUGGAGGAUGACACUUUUCGGAGCGUAAACUCCUUUUAUAUAGGAAGAUAAUGACGGUACUAUAUGAAUAAGCACCGGCUAACUCCGUGCCAGCAGCCGCGGUAAUACGGAGGGUGCAAGCGUNACUCGGAAUCACUGGGCGUAAAGAGCGUGUAGGCGGGUUAAUAAGUCUGAAGUGAAAUCCUAUG